rnacentral:rRNA from 1 species
GCCAGACUCCUACGGGAGGCAGCAGUGGGGGAUAUUGCACAAUGGGGGGAACCCUGAUGCAGCGACGCCGCGUGAAGGAAGAAGUAUCUCGGUAUGUAAACUUCUAUCAGCAGGGAAGAAAAUGACGGUACCUGACUAAGAAGCCCCGGCUAACUACGUGCCAGCAGCCGCGGUAAUACGUAGGGGGCAAGCGUUAUCCGGAUUUACUGGGUGUAAAGGGAGCGUAGGCGGCAGUGCAAGUCAGAAGUGAAAUACCGGGGCUCAACCCCGGGGCUGCAUUGGAAACUGGCAGGCUGGAGUGCCGGAGAGGCAGGCGGAAUUCCUAGUGUAGCGGUGAAAUGCGUAGAUAUUAGGAGGAACACCAGUGGCGAAGGCGGCCUGCUGGACGGUGACUGACGCUGAGGCUCGAAAGCGUGGGGAGCAAACAGGAUUAGAUACCCUAGUA